UACGUAGGGUGCAAGCGUUUAAUCGGAAUUACUGGGCGUAAAGCGUGCGCAGGCGGUUUUGUAAGUCUGUCGUGAAAUCCCCGGGCUCAACCUGGGAAUUGCGAUGGAGACUGCAAGGCUAGAAUCUGGCAGAGGGGGGGUAGAAUUCCACGUGUAGCAGUGAAAUGCGUAGAGAUGUGGAGGAACACCGAUGGCGAAGGCAGCCCCCUGGGUCAAGAUUGACGCUCAUGCACGAAAGCGUGGGGAGCAACGAGG
rnacentral:rRNA from 1 species